UACGUAGGUGGCAAGCAUUGUCCGGAUUUACUGGGCGUAAAGGGAGCGUAGGCGGAUGUUUAAGUGGGAUGUGAAAUACUCGGGCUCAACUUGAGUGCUGCAUUCCAAACUGGAUAUCUAGAGUGCAGGAGAGGAAAGGAGAAUUCCUAGUGUAGCGGUGAAAUGCGUAGAGAUUAGGAAGAAUACCAGUGGCGAAGGCGCCUUUCUGGACUGUAACUGACGCUGAGGCUCGAAAGCGUGGGGAGCAAACAGGAUUAGAUA
rnacentral:rRNA from 1 species